CCUACGGGCGGCAGCAGUGGGGAAUAUUGGACAAUGGGCGAAAGCCUGAUCCAGCCAUGCCGCGUGAGUGAUGAAGGCCUUAGGGUUGUAAAGCUCUUUUGCCUGGGAAGAUAAUGACGGUACCAGGAGAAUAAGCCCCGGCAAACUUCGUGCCAGCAGCCGCGGUAAUACGAAGGGGGCUAGCGUUGUUCGGAUUUACUGGGCGUAAAGCGCACGUAGGCGGAUUCUUAAGUCAGGGGUGAAAUCCCGAGGCUAAACCUCGGAACGGCCUUUGAUACUGGGGAUCUUGAGUUCGGGAGAGGUGAGUGGAACUGCGAGUGUAGAGGUGAAAUUCGUAGAGAUUCGCAAGAACACCAGUGGCGAAGGCGGCUCACUGGCCCGAUACUGACGCUGAGGUGCGAAAGCGUGGGGAGCAAACAGGAUUAGAUACCCCAGUAGUC
rnacentral:rRNA from 1 species